AUGACAGUCCCGUCUCCAGCUGCGUCCUCUCGUGCUCCGCGAGCACCCUUUCCCCUUUCGACUCGACACGACCCGCUCGGCCCCCACUUCCCUUCCCUUCCCUUCAUCACCAUGUGCGCUUUUCGCAUCUCCGUCUCGCCGACUGACUCCUCGUCCUCCCCGAGCAGUCCUCCCCUCACUUUGCAGCCUCCUCCGCGGCGCCCAGCAGUUGCGCCCCGGGGCACACAAGAGAGAGAAAGAGGAGAGGGAGAGGGAGCCCCGCUUCCGCGCGAAGCUUCCGCCAUGGGCGACAUCUCGACCGCGGCGGCGAGCGCGGAGGAGCGCGAGCCCCAGCCCAAGGACCCGAGGACGAUCGCGCGCAAGUAUCAGUUGGAUCUCUGCAAGAGGGCUCUCGAGGAGAACAUCAUAGUGUACCUAGGCACGGGAUGCGGGAAGACCCAUAUAGCCGUGUUGCUCAUAUACGAGCUUGGCCAUCUCAUUCGCAAACCCAGACGUGAUGUCUGCAUCUUCCUCGCCCCGACAGUCCCCCUUGUUCUCCAGCAAGCAACGGUGAUUGCUAAUUCCACCAAUUUCAGAGUUCAAAGUUACUAUGGGGAUGGUAAAAACCCAAGAAAUCACGAGGACUGGGAGACAGAGAUGGGGGAAUCUGAGGUUCUUGUAAUGACUCCCCAGAUUUUGUUGCAUAGUUUGCGGCAUUGUUUCAUCAAGAUGGACUCAAUUGCACUUCUGAUAUUCGAUGAAUGCCAUCACGCACAAGCACACAAGCGGCAUCCAUAUGCACAAAUUAUGAAGGAAUUCUACGAUAAUGACAUGGUGAAGCCCCCUCGCAUUUUUGGCAUGACUGCUUCACCAGUAAUUGGAAAAGGCGGGUCUAACAAGCUUAAUUACACCAAAUGUAUCAACAGCCUUGAAGAAUUAUUGCAUGCCAAGGUCUGUUCGGUUGAUAAUGCAGAGCUGGAAAGUGUGCUUGCUUUUCCUGAUAUGGAGGUGUACACGUAUGUCCCGCUUAGUCACUCUAAUCUUACUGUAACUUACAACAAAGAACUUGAUUGCUCAAAGCUUGAGAGUGAACGCAUACUACGCGAGAGCCUAUACGAUUUCAAGGAUUCUCAGAAGAAACUAAAGUCCCUGGGGAGGUUGCAUGGAAAUUUAGUAUUCUGUUUGCAAGAACUUGGUUCGUUUGGAGCUCUGCAAGCUGCAAAGGCUUUCCUUUCAUUUGAUGGUGAUGUUUUGGACAGAAAGGAGUCUGACAUGAACGACAAUUCUACCAGAUUUAAGCAUCACUACCUAAACAAAGCAAUUUCUGUUCUGAAUUGCAACAUAUUAGACGGUACCCAUGAUGAUUCAUUUCGUCUAGAGAUGCUAGAAGAACCUUUCUUCUCAAAUAAAAUUGUGGUUCUUAUUAAAAUUCUCUCGAGAUACAGGCUAGAGGAAAACAUGAAGUGCAUAGUUUUCGUGAAAAGAAUAACUGUUGCAAGAGCAAUAGCACAUAUCCUCCAAAAUUUGAAAGGCCUUGAUCUUUGGAAAUGUGAGUUCCUUGUGGGACGCCACUCGGGACCAAAGAACAUGUCAAGGCAGAAGAUGGAUGCUAUUGUUGAAAAUUUCUCUUCUGGCGAGGUGAAUCUUUUGAUUGCUACCAGUGUAGGUGAAGAGGGUCUGGACAUUCAGACUUGUUGCCUCGUUGUGCGGUUUGAUCUUCCAGAAACUGUUGCCAGUUUUAUCCAGUCGAGGGGACGUGCUCGGAUGACAAAUUCUAAAUAUGUUGUUCUCCUGGAGAGGGGCAAUCAUUCUCAAGAAAAGUUGCUUAAUGACUAUAUUGAUGGUGAAGGCAUUAUGAAUGGAGAGAUAGACUUGAGAACUUCAAAUGAUGUGUUUGAUCACCUCGAGGAGAAAAGUUAUCGAGUGGAAAAAACGGGUGCUUCCAUUAGCACUGCAUGUAGUGUAUCUCUACUACAUCGCUACUGCUACAACCUUCCCAAGGAUAUGUUCUUCAAUCCUUCCCCAGCAUUCAUCUACAUUGAUGACACCGAGGGGAUAAUCUGCAGAGUAAUUCUUCCACCAAAUGCUGCUUUUCGUCAAGUGGAUGGCCAACCAUGCCAAUCAAAUGACGAGGCUAAGAGGGAUGCAUGCUUAGAGGCAUACGUGAAAUUGUAUGAAUUGGGUGCUUUGACAGAUUUUCUUCUGCCUGGUUCAGGUUCAGGAAAGAACAGGGCAUCAACAACAAACGGUUCAGCAAGCAACAGUCAUGAUGAUGAAAGUCUAAGAGAAGAGCUUCAUGAGAUGUUAAUUCCCACAAUUCUCAAACCUUCAACAUGCAAACUGGACAGUCCAUUGAACUUGCAUUUCUACUAUAUUCAAUUCUUUCCCAUACCAGCAGAUAGACAUUAUCGGAUAUUUGGUCUUUUUGUGAUCAACCCCCUUCCUAUGGAAGCUGAAAAGUUGGAGGUUGAUUUGCAUCUGGCUCGUGGCAGGAUUGUGAAAGCAGGAAUGAAACAUUUAGGGACGAUAUCAUUUGACGAAGAACAGAUGAUGCUUGCACGCAAUUUCCAAGAAAUGUUUCUGAAGGUUCUCCUGGACAGAUCUGAGUUCACUGUGUCUCAUGUUAUGUUGUUGAGCAACAGUGAAACGCUACAGUUUAAUUCAACCUUUUACCUGCUGCUUCCAAUCAAGCAGGAAUUGUAUGGUGAUAUAUUUAUGAUUGACUGGCCAACAGUUAAGCGCUGUUUAUCAUCACCGGUUUUUAAAGAUCCAACUGGUGUGUCUGCGCAUGGAUCAUAUUUGCCAGAUGAGUCUUUAAGGCUUCUUGAUAAUAUGUACAGUAAAACUGAUGUCGUUGGCAGUCUAAUCUUUGCUCCCCAUAUUAAGACAUUUUUCGUCAUUGAUGUCAUUCUGAACGAACUAAAUGCUAGAAGUGAAUACGACGGUGCUACUUAUGAAGAUCAUUACAAGGAAAGGUUUGGUAUCAAACUAUCACAUCCCGAGCAGCCACUUCUGCACGCUAAGCAGCUCUGCAAUCUGCAUAAUUUGCUUCAUGACCGAUUACGGGAGACCACAGAAGAAGGUCAUGAAUUGAUGGAGCACUUUGUGGAGUUGCCUCCAGAGCUAUGUUCUUUGAAGAUAAUUGGGUUUUCAAAGGAUAUGUGUAGCUCCCUGUCUUUGUUACCAUCGUUGAUGUGUCGGUUGGAGAAUUUGCUGGUAGCUAUUGAGUUGAAGGAUGUCAUGUUGUCUUCAUUCUCAGAGGCUUCUCAAAUUAGUGCCUCUGGUAUCCUUGAAGCACUUACCACCGAAAGGUGUUUGGAGAGGAUUUCUUUGGAGCGCUUUGAAGUCUUAGGUGAUGCUUUUUUGAAGUAUGUAGUUGGACGUCACAACUUUCUUACAUAUGAAGGACUUGAUGAAGGGCAAUUGACCAGCAGACGUUCUGCUAUAGUGAAUAAUUCACAUUUAUAUGAGUUAUCAAUCAAAAGAAAUUUGCAGGUGUACAUACGGGAUCAACACUUUGAACCGACACAGUUCAUUGCACUGGGAAGGCCUUGUAAAGUUGUUUGCAAUGCUGACACAGAAGUGAAUAUACACACAGAUAGCCGAGAAAACUGUAACUUGAGGUGUACAAAGUCGCAUCAUUGGUUGCAUAGGAAGACUAUAGCGGAUGCUGUUGAAUCGCUUGUCGGAGCAUUUCUUGUUGAAGGUGGAUUCAAAGCUGCAUUUGCAUUCCUUCGCUGGGUGGGAAUAGAUGUUGAUUUUAAAGAUUCAUCUCUAUAUAGAGUAUUAGAUGCAAGCUCCAUCAAUUUAUCUCUCACGAACCACACCAACGUCGGUGAGCUUGAGGAAUUAAUCGGUUACAAUUUCAAACAUAAGGGUCUAAUUCUCGAAGCAUUUGUGCAUCCUUCAUUCAAUAAACAUUCUGGAGGAUGCUACCAGAAAUUGGAGUUCCUUGGAGAUGCUGUUUUGGAAUAUUUGAUAACCUCGUACCUCUACUCAGCUUAUCCUGAUCUAAAGCCUGGUCAAAUAACUGAUUUAAAAUCGUUAGCUGUCAGUAAUAAUUCGCUUGCAUAUGUGGCAGUCCAGAAAGGUAUCCAUAAGUAUCUUAUAAAGGAUUCAAAUUAUCUUUCGACAGCAGUGAAUAAGUUUGAGAAUUAUAUUAGACUUCCCAAUUCAGAGAAAGACUUGGUAGAAGAACCAGCAUGCCCAAAGGUUCUUGGUGAUAUUGUCGAAUCUUGUGUUGCUGCAGUUCUUUUAGAUUCAGGAUUCAACCUGAACUACGUUUGGACACUAGUGCUUAUGCUUCUAAAGCCAGUGUUGAGCUUCUCUGACAUGCACAUGAAUCCCAUGAGAGAAAUUCGGGAACUUUGUCAAUGUCAUGAACUUGAGUUAGGCCUUCCCGAACCUAUGAAAGCUGAUGGAGAGUACCACGUCAAAGUGGAAGUUAACAUAAACAGCCAGGUGAUAAGUUCUGCCGCUGCAAACCGGAAUUCAAAAGUUGCUAGGAAGUUUGCUGCACAAGAAACACUUUCUAAACUGAAGAAUUAUGGAUACACACAUAAAAACAAGUCACUGGAAGAGAUUUUGCGAGAUGCUAGGAAGAAAGAACCAGAACUACUAGGUUAUAAUGAAGAACCAAUCAAAGUCGAGGCGGACAUAUCUGCAGAAAUGAAUAAUCUGAAGAUAGGUAAAGAAAGGGAUGCAAACAUCUCUUUCCAAAAUACGGAAAUUUCUAUUCGUGGGACUCUUAGAACCUCUAGCCAAAGAACGGCAGGGAAUACCAUGUUUUCCAAGGAUGAUGUCAGUAUUGAAAGGAAUAAUCAGCUCAAGGUUGCAAAGCAGAAUGCCUGUCUGCCGAAGGGAACAACUCAGAAAAAUAUUAGAAAGGAGUAUCAUGGUGAUAUGGUAAAUAAAACAGCAAAGUCUUUCCUUUUUGAAGUAUGUGCCGUAAGUUAUUGGAAACCCCCUGAAUUUGAAUUGUGCAAAGAAGAAGGGCCAAGCCACCUCCGAAGAUUCACGUACAAGGUUACAGUUCAGAUCAGGGGACCCUCGGAGACACUCUUGGAGUGCUACAGCGAUGCUCAACUACAGAAGAAGGCCGCACAAGAGCAUGCCGCGCAGGGGGCUCUGUGGUAUCUCAGGCAACAUGGGUACCUACCCAAAGAUGAAGUUUGUGUGUAG
rnacentral:rRNA from 1 species